rnacentral:rRNA from 1 species
GAAAAGAACUUUGAAGAAAGAGUUCAAGAGAACGUGAAACUACCACGAGGUUAAAACGGAUGGACAUGCGUAGCGGAAAAGGGGGUCUCAUCUCCUCGAGCCCCGCGGCGCGGGCGCGAUCUAGACCGUCUUCGUCCGGCCUCCCUCGCGGAGGUUUCCGGCUCCGAAGAAGGCUGUCGCGUCUGCGGACGACGGGGAAAGGGGGGUGGAUUUCCCUCCUUAGUACGCGGUCGCGGCCGCUCGGAGGUUGUCCGUGAUCGGGAGCUCGGGAACCGAGCCGCCUUCGGCCUCUCUUCAACGAGGGAGGUACGGAGCCGCGGAUCGGGGACACUCCCUGAAUUCUGACGGACUCUCGAACGGUUUGCCAUAGAAGGGGCCCCUCUCUCCCUCCUUUUCGGAGGGGGGAGGGGGCUUCGGCCCCUUACGCGGCCGAUAUUCGCGAUCGUCCAUCCGUCCCGUCUUGAAACACGGACCAAGGAGUCUAACAUGCGCGCGAGUCGAAGGGAUAAGUCUAAUCCCCGAGGCGCAACGAAAGCGAAAAAGGUUCUCCCUCUCGCCGCUUCGCGGCCUCCGCCCUCGCUGCCGCCGCUGUCCCUCUUCGUCCGCGUGCGCUCUUUCCUCCCCUCCUCGGGGAGGGGGGGCGUCGUUGGCGUCGGGAAGAUAGCGACGGUAGUAUUACGGGGCGGUGGUUCGGCGGUCGUAGUAAGGGGGUUCCGUUGGGCCGAUCCGAGCUCCUUCCUAUUAAUUUUUUUUUAUUAUUAGGGGGACCGGCGCAGGCCCGGGGCUCGUCGCUACCCUCUCGUUGCCCUUCGCGGGGCUUCGUGACGGGCGGCGGGCACCUCGAGCGUACAUGCUAGUACCCGAAAGAUGGUGAUCUAUGCCUGGCCAGGACGAAGCCAGAGGAAACUCUGGUGGAGGUCCGUAGCGAUUCUGACGUGCAAAUCGAUCGUCAGAGCUGGGUAUAGGGCGAAGACCAU